ACUUAAUUUUUCUAUGCUCUGCAUGGGCAAGGUCCCCGCGCGAAUGAAUGCAUGUGGUCUGUUCUGAAAUGUUUAUUACAAGUCUCAUUUGCGCCAUUCAAUAAGGUAAAGAGUGGUAACCCUCCUUCUGGCUUUCACUAUUUACCCCUUCUAUCCUUUCACCCCCACCCUACCCCUGCACCCGUCCACCCUCCUUGCCUUCUGAAUUAAUUUGAUACUAUUUUUGAAAGUCAGUGUUUCUAAGGGAUACCUAAUGACGCAGUGACGUCAAUGCAGGUCAAUAGCACACUGGUUGAGAGGAGCGUGCUGCCAGCUGCGCAUGCAGGCUAUGGCAGAGUGCUGGAGAACUUCCCCCAAAAGCUAUUGUGUGUACGUGAAAAAAACAGCGUCUUUCACGUUUAAUAAACACACAGUCUUCUUCAAUGCGCUCAAAUCCUCAGAACGUUUCAAAAUACUUCGUGAAACAACUAAAUUCCAACUUCUCACUGGAAGUCUGCCAAGGAAUGGUGCUAUAAAGCGAGAUAGGAUCUGUAGAGUGCGAUAUCCUCACACUUUUUUGUACUUCUCCCCUCGAUCUAGGAGGAGCAGAGAGGUCGGGACGCAUCCAGUCCAAUCCCAUGACCAAUGGCAGGACUAUCGUCUUUUCUUUUAUAACCCGCGUGGUUCCAGUACGUAACACGAUGUUCUCGCCUUCCAUUCCAGUCUCGCCACCAGAGUGCCAACACAAAACACUUCGCGACAAACAGAAAACUGAACCAACACGGUAUGUGACCCAUUUUCUUCGUCCUGACACAAAAGGAGCGGUUUGAUGCUUUUUUGUCUAUCUUGCUCUUUUUCAGUUUCUUGAACCAAGUCGAACGAGUUACCAAUAACGUAAGUAUAUGCUUUAUCUGCUUACAGGCAAUAACAAGUUACGAGAUUGGUUGAUUUGCAGAUGUUGCGGACUAUAGUUCAUUCAUACAGAACAGUUCACCACAUAGACGAAGCUGUGGCUCAGUACAACGCUUUCGUCAAUGAACACCUGUGGUGAAUGUUUGGCAACAGUAUUGUUAUAGAAUAUAAUUUUUUGACAAGGUUGUGACCCGAUAUGGUGCAGACGUUUGUAAACAUAUGUAAACAUUUGUUCUGUUUACAUUAAGACUCAAGCUUCCAAUUAACAGUCAGUGCACAUGCAUACACGCGCAUUGGAUGAGUGGACCAAUUCCUGAAUGCGCUAAUGCAUAGGCGUAUUCACGUGCCGGGGUUCCUCAGGUUCCCCUGCCAUUCCGCUAAAAUGCCUGGUAACAGCCUGCCACUAGGAGCUGUCAGACUAAACGGUCUAUACGCUAAUGGCAGGUCUCCACACCACAUUCACCUGAAAAAUCUGACUUUGAUUUACGACAAGAGGCACUUUUAUUACAACAACGGAAAUACCCGCGUGGGAAUUUGUUGAAAAACUAUACAUGCAAUCUGAAAGAUUAUUGUUAGCAUUUAGGGGGGAAAAAACUCUUGUUUGAGACUGUUCCAAGUUAACAAGUCAUCUUGGUAGAGUGCAGAAAUUGGGAUAUUAAAGACAAAAAGUUUGACAGAAGUCCCAUCAGAAGUAAAUAUUAAUGGUUGCACGCAUUAUUUGCAGGCGUUGUCAGAUUGUACCUGAUGAACCUAUCCAUGUGCCCUAGCAGUGCAGCUACUGGUCAGGACCAUGGAGAGCGCCGCGUCCAGAUUCCUCUCAGUUCUAUUGCAAUGGAGCACUGGGAUUAAAAGAGUAUAGGAGCAACGUCCCAAAAUCACCAAGGCAGGUAGAUGUUACCCACAACAAUGUUGCAUACCUUGUUCUGAACAUCACAUGUUUUCUUAAAUGUACACAAUAUCAUUUUUACCGACCUCGACUUCUUAAUUUAAAGUUGCAGCAUGUCCGCAGCAUAUCUAUCUUGUUCGCGUCCCGUCAGUACACGCACGGACACAGAGGGGGUUUACAGAGCGUAAUCAAUGGAAUAACUUUCUACAUAGCAUGAAGUCUUUGUUCCAACUUUUCAAAUCAACGCGUGGGUGUUUAAUAUCACAGGAGCGAAGACGUGGGACUAGCAGGGACAUUUCCAAGAUGGUAACAUCUACGAAGACGUAUAAGAUGUAUCUCAUUAUGCCGUCACUUACAGUCCCUGCAAAUAAUUCAGAACCACUGGUUUUAGGGUUCAUAUAACCUAUAGGGUUCCAUUGACUCGAAACACUUUACUUGUGCAUCAUUGUGUCACAGAACUGGGUCAACUUCGUGAAUGGCAAUAUGCUUAUGAAAUACAAUUUAGCCAAAGUCAAGUUUUUAUGAUAACUAUUUCAUACUGCAUAUCGAUAGUCUGAUAGUCAUCAGUACAUUUUACUUUAUUUGGCAGUUUUCUUGUUUCCUGCUCUUCAUUUGUAAAAAUGGAUGGCACAAAUGCAAAACAAGUUGCCAAACUAUAGGCGGACAUAGCUAAGGCCGUGUACUUACCGUGUUUGCCUGUGUCGGUGGUGGUAGUGAUAAUGGGAGGUGUUUUAGUAGAGUUGCCUCAAACUGUAGAUCGUCAGGUCAAGUUUUGCGUGACUGCAUGAUGUUGCCUACUAAGAUGUUUAUAUGGUGUGUGAAGUUGGCAACCCGUCCGUGGAGAUGUGUACACACUUGCAGGUCUUCUAACCACCUAAGUGCACCUACUUUUGCAUGUUCAAUAUGAACACAGACUACCUUUGCUAUGGGUAGAUACUUUAUAUGAUUCAGUGUUUGGAUGAGGCUUAUUGUUGAACUGUAUGGUGAUAAGUUAGACUACUUUUGAGAGGCAGUGGAUAGGUAAAAAAUAAUGCUCGAGCUGACAUUUCCAUUAAUGCCAGAGAAGGAACCUUUGAAACUUAGAAACCAGUUCUUAACAGCACGCAGUAUGCGUUCCAAAGACAGACCCACUCAUUGAGCUACUGCUGCUACUUAACUGGUUGGAAGAUCUGCCACUGCAUCAGAUACAACGCUUAUGAAGCAUAAGAGGCACGAUAUGCCAUGCGUAUGUAAGCAUGGGCACCAGAACACCAUGUCAAUAUUUAAUUAGUGUUUAGGUAUGUUUUGGAGGACAGGGGGCGUGAGGGAGUUGUGAGAACAAUAAUGGGAGACGUGGAGAAUAAAGUCAGAGAUGCGUUCUUUUGUGUUUAUAUUACGCGCAAUUAUAACCACAAAUAUCAUAAUUACUAUAGACACAAUACAUGGGUAUGUAAGUACUACUUCAGUGGAGCACAAGAACAACCACAAACAGGUUACCUAUAGUUAUAACAGUGUAGGCUAACAUCUAGCCAGACUUAAGGAACUUGUCGUGCGCUUUCGAGAUUUUAACAAUUCACUCUGUUUAUAGAAUCUGGACACCACCAAUGCAUUUUCGACCAAAGAAAUACGACUCGAAGGUUAAGCAGCCCCAAGGGGUCAGGGAAGAGACGAAUCUAUGUAUAUUUUCUAGUGGGGAAAAUCUGCAGUGCCAGCCACAGAGGAGCUGUGCUUAUGCGAUAAAAAUAGCAUCGAGCGAUGCGACGGGCACUGCCCUUUUUCUCUGAGCUGACUUUUCGAGGUAACCGUUUCUCGUUGUACAGACAGCUCGAUUCCUAAAUGAAAUACCGUGAUCAUGUCUCGCGUGACAUCCACUGGAUGCCGGGAGAACGCAAAAGUCGAGGAGAGUCCGUGACCAAAUCCAGAUGAGACUGAGGUUAGAUAAAGGGAUGAUGGAAAGCGUGGUAUUCAUAGAAUGGUUAAACUCACCGUGUAGCUGUGCUCUGAACUGACAGCUCACGGCGAGUCGAUUCCGUGGGCGAACGAGUCUGGCGCGUGGGCACGAGCUGCUAGCAGAAAAGGCAGCUCACGUUGAGAUCUUCCAUGCACUAUUAUUGUCACCUGCUAGAACAGAGCCUUUGUCUGACACAAUACGUGCAAAGGGGAGCUAAGCACAAACAGGAGAUGCUUUCAAGGGUGCCAGUAGCCAAGCCUAACAUUUCUGACACAAAGACUUCGAUAUAAUGUAGCAACACACCACAUUUUAUACCCCAACUUCCCACAUCUCACCUACAAUUGUUUUAUGGUUUCAGGCAAAUGUCAUUAGAACUAAACAGAGAGCGGCUUUUGUAUGGAGCUAUAGGCUGGAAAGUGGGAGAACCUAAACGUGACGUCAAUGCCCAGUAACUGACGCAGCCCUGAAACGAAAAUAAAAUCUAUUUUUCUAGUCAGCAAGCUUUAAUUGUUGCAGUUUUAAGGUGCACAGUGGGAUAAAUAAAAAGGACAAACAGUACAACUGUAACAUUUGAAUAGAUCGUGUAAGCAUUGAGUGUUCUGUGUAUCUUAAGAUACAAACAACAUAUCAGCCCAGGGUUUUCCGGCGAAAGUUCUGCGAGGACAAGAGGACUGUACAAAAAAGGAUUAGCCAUAUGCGGUUGAAGACAUGCAAAACGAACCUGAAAUAACUUAAAUACCAACAGUGUGCGCUCAGGUAGACAUGUAGGUAGUGUUUUGUGUUAAAACAAGGGGGUGGUAAUCGGAGGCUGAUUGUUAAAAAAAACACUGCAAUGAUGCAAUGGAGGGGAAUCGGAGCUCUUGUGCAGAGUUGGAGAGGCAAAAUUAAUGUACAUUACAUUCACUCCACGUAACGUUCCUGAGCGAUGCCUUUGUGAGUGUUUUUUUCCUUCUCGUGAACUAAAAAUAGCAUCCGGGUUUGAUCGCGCUCCAGAAAUAGACAGAGGGUAUCACUUGUAUAAAAAGGAACGUGAUUCUCAGGAAAACUUGGACUCGCUGCCGAGGUUAGAAAUGACUGAAUGACUGUUUGUUGAUGCAAUGUGUUGUUUAAAGUGGGGUGUUGUAUUAAGCAAUUUAUGCAUUUCUUGCCUGCCUUUUUUCAUGUACAUUUCUAUUUCCCUUGUUUUAGGAUGGGUUCCCUUUCUUGGUAAGUACCAUUUUCACGUGUAACGUUCACGUACCUUCCUCUAUUCAUUUUUUGCAUGCGCGGGAGCACGUAUUUUAUAUUAUGCUGUUUUUGGCUUUGCAUAGGUAUAAGUAUAGGGCAUGCAUGUGUGUGCACGGACCCCUGCGAUUUCAACGAGAAUAGCCAGUUUCUGCAGUAGAGGAAUCACCCUAAUGGUAAAUAUGUGAAUGAGAAGCAACUGCAAACUCCUUUGUCUGACGGCGCUGUUGAGUCUCUUUCCACAUUUCUCUCUCUGCAAGUAUGUUAAGGAAGGGACUGGAAUCCUCCUUUGAUGAAGUAACCAAUUACAUGCUCUCAUAUUUUAAGACAAGGACUAUAAUACAUCGUUGAUGGAAAAACAACAACGGAAAUAUACUGGCGGACUCUGAACUGCAAAAAACGCUGACCGAAUAGGGAGGGGGUUGUAAGGAGCUGUCCAAGCGGUGGUGGUGCUGAAAAUAUGUUUUGAGGCACAGGGAAAUAGGAGGGGAUGGGUUAUCGUGUAGUGUCCUGCAACAAAAUCACGAUUAUCAGGAGAGCAACAAAUAGAUAAAUUAUAGAAUAGAUUGAUAGAAAUGAACAAUGUCUGCUUGUCUGAUGGAAACUAGAGGAGCUAUGGACGACAGCGAGUGUUUGAAACUCGCAAUUAAGUGACAUACGUCGGAAAAGCUCAAGUUGGCUGCUAGUGCAUACAGCAGUUUGCUGAUCUUCCCGCCUGCGAUGUUUGAACUGUAUUAUCAGAUGAUGUGCAGGAAAACAGAGAAGCUAUAGGCGGGCUGACUUCCAUUACUCUUCCGCCCACGUCAUGUAUGUCUUUAGUGCACCAUACUUAGACGAAAUCAUCUUCUACUGGGUGCUCGUCUAAUAGUUUCCACGCACGCCACUCGUGAAGCCUUGAAAGAUAAAUGUGUUUGUCUAUCGUGGAUUCUUCCCUGCAAAAAACCGAUAGAGUCUAAAAGCUUUAAAUGUAAAGCGGUAUCGUAGGCAUCGCCACGCAAAUAGUAAAAUAGAUUAACUCUAUUCUUAAAACGAUCAGAAUGUGAUCAUUAUGUUCUCCAAAAGAAACAGCAGUACCCAUUCAUUUUAACUUUGCGUAGCACUAAUAAGGCGUAAAGAUCUCUAAUCUCAGCCGUACAGUUCGUCAAUGAUUUUAUCCUCACUCACUAGCUAGACAGUCAACGACUGAGCAUCGCUAACAGCUCUGUGCAUUAAUAACUCCCCAGUACCUUCUAAAGUCAGUCCUCUUCUGAAUAAUUCCCAUGAUAUCCAGACAGAAUGAGCUUUUAGGGAAAAAGUUUGUCUGUCUCUGAUCCAAAUAGAUCAUAAAUACAUGGUUUGCUUUGUGAUGUAUGGCCAUGUCCUGUGAGAAGAAACUACAGAGAUCAACUUCUUAAAUCCACUCGUUUUUGUCUAAUGAUCAUAACCUAGACAGAGGUGAUAUCGUCUUAAAUAAUUCAAUGCUGGCGGUGUCAUUUUAGUGGAAACAACACGGCUUCUGGAGUCGUGACUGCUAAAGUGAGUAAUAUGCGCGCGUUGGCUGCGUCAGGAGAGGCAGUCACUGUGCAGUGCAGACGGAGGGGGGGAAUCGUGACUGACUGGAGACGUCCGCAAAUGAAAAGACUAAAUAAAACUCUCAUCAGGAUAUCAUACGGGGCCGAAUUUUUCACAUGUUCAUGCCUGGCCUGAAUUCCUCUCCAUGUCCACUCCACUGCCCCUGCACCAACAAAGAGAGGAGGGGAUUUCUCAUUUUUCAUGGGGCGGUUGAGGGGAGUCUUAGUUCGGGAUGAAAUCAGACACAGAAGGAGGGAGGGGGUUGAUCCAGAUAUAGAUCGUGACCCUCCCACUUGGUACAGUUACUUGUACACCAUGUCAAGAAUGGAAUGCCUGGGCAUGUUAUGGGGCGUUUUGAUAGAUCGACUGGUCAAUUCAAAGUUGGAACAGUGAGAAAAGGACGCCAAAAGUCUGAGAACAGCGUAUCUAUCUGGAGAAGGACUAGGAGCUGUCCGUAAAAACGGGUGUGCAACGGUUUCGCAUGUUCAGAAAGGUAAGAUAUGUCCAGGGUCACCCUAUUAACAUUAUACACGCUUUCCACCGAGAUGCACUUACAUUCUAAACUCUAGAGAAAGAAGAAAACUGUUCGCCUCACCUCUCCCUCCGUCUGUAUGGAACCCUGCUCCCCUUCUUCAUUGGCUGUGGGAAGGAUACGUUUAGAAGAAGACAUUUAUCUUUUUGUAAGUAAAUUAUGAACACGGACAUUUUUCCCCUCCUGGACAGGUGUUAUAUGCUUGCACAUAUGCAUUAUGAUUGAGCUUGACUUGUCAUAUUGAAGAUGUUCUUCUUUUUUUCUUCGGACAGUGUGUUCGACCUUUCAUUUUCUGCGAGGUAGCCUACAAUUUACAGAAAGAUGGCUUGAUUUGUGAAUGUAGUUCUGUAUUUGAAUAGUUACAUUUCUACAUGUCUGCAGUGUGAGCAAAUGUUUAGAGUAAAGGCUUUUGCCAUUUAGAUGCCAGUUCAACUGAGCUUGCUUUAAAGUUUUUUCAAGAAAAUAAUAUAUUCGGAUGUAACCCCUUUGUAAUGACCAACAUUUUGAUUACAUACAUUGUCUCUGUAACAGAUCACAAUUACAUUUAUUUUGUAACUCAAUAACAUAACUCCAUUACAUGUAACUGGUUACUCCACAACCCUGUCAAGCUGUUUUUCUGUCAUGGUUUACCCUUUUAAGGGGAUGUCACAACCACAGUCACUCUCCAUCACAGAGACUUGAUAAAGUUGAUAAAUCUGAAAAUAGCCUUACAGGAAUUGUGCCUAUGUCUUUGUCAUACUACUUGUGAGAUACUGCUGAUAUUGUUGAAAAGCAUAAACCUUCCACUGAAAAUAUUUUGCAUUAUAUGGGUCUAGUCACCCUUAUACUUAAUGACUAGAACAAGGCUGUAGAACUUUUUUCUUAUUAAAAAAAAAUGCAAAUGCAAAUGCAAAUAUGGAUUGCCGUGACAACAGACACAAAUAAUUUGUAUUGUGUCACUGUAGCCUUUACGUGAAGUUUAGAACAUGCCCAGAUGCUUCAGCCCUAAAUGUUUUUGAUCAGGUACUUGUUUUUGAUCUUGUACUUGUUUAAAAUAAUUCCCUUCUUUUAUUAGUUCAUUCGUUAAUUUCUUCAUCCAUUUAUUUAUUUGACAUACAUCAUUCAGAUGAUUAGAAAUCCUGCUUUACACGCAAACAUGCCUUGCAACCUUAGCCUACUUACUUACAUUGUGUGUUGUGCAAUGAUUGAAGCACAAACACACACACAAAUACACACAAAAAUGUAAAGUUAAUCAUGCACACACACACAAACUCUGUCAUGAUCAUACACAAACUUUCAAAAUAGUUAAGUGUGAACACACACAUGACACACACCUAGACUGGUAUACCACGUACACACUAUAUGCAGCCAGUCAUACUGCAUCACAAAUCAACAUAAUACACAUGCAGAGACAAUACAAAUAUGUAUACAUGUACACAUACACCCUUACACACUCACACACACACACACACACACACCCUUACAAACACACACACACACAUACACCCUUACACACUCACACACACACACUCACACACAUACACCCUUACAAGCACACACACACACAUACACCCUUACACACACACACAUACAUCCUUAGACACACACACACACAUACACCCUUACACACACACACACACACACACACACACACACACACACACACACACACACACACACACACACACACACAUACACCCUUACAGACACACACACACACACACGCGCACACACACACACACACACACACACACACACACACACACACACACACACACACACACACACACACACACACACACACACACACACACACACACACACACCAUACAUGCUCUAAGUCGGUAUGCAUGUGAGAAGACAUACAUAUAUAUAUCAAUUCCCAUACACACAUACUGACUCCAUGUACACACAAACACACACACACACAUGCGUGCACACACACACUAACAGAGAGAACAACAAGCACAUCCAUGAAACACAGUUAAUCAUGCACACACACACAAUCAUACUCUGUCACGAUCAUACACAAACUUUCAAAAUAGUUAGGUGUGAACACACACAUACAGUAUAUACCUAGACACAGGUAUACCACGUACACACUAUAUGCAGUCAGUCAUACUGCAUCACAAAUCAACAUGAUACACAUGCAGAGACAAUACAAAUAUGUACACAUGUAGACAUACACCCUUACACACACACACACACACACACACACACACACACACACACACACACCCUUACACACACACACUCACACACAUACUCCCUUACACACAUACUGACUCCAUGUACACACAAACACACACACACACACACACACACACACACACACACACACAUGCACGCACACACACAAACAGAAAGAAAAGCAAGCACAUCCAUGAAACACAACACACACAUCUAUACAUUCCCACAGACACAGAUUCAGGAUCCACAUUUAGGAAGAUGCAAUCACAGAAAACAUUGAUGCAUGAUAACAUGCACACAUGCGCAUACGCCCACACACACACACACACACACGCUCACCCACACACAUGAGCAUACACCCACACACACACCUAUUCUGUUGAGGCAUAUGUUGUGAUAUUUUAUUUUGCUCAUUUUCAAAGACAUGGAGGAUGACAUGAUUCUGAGAAAUAGAAGCAAAACAGCAGAAGUAUUUAGAGUAAACGUUUUUCGUGCAUUUUUUGUAUUACCAGGCUUUCUCAUUCUACAUAUUGCUUCCCAUUUGAAAUGUAAUUAGAAGUCACAAUUUGCUCUCCUCUAGACAACUCAUUGACUGACCCUCAAACUGAAUGAGAUUACAGUAAGAAUCAAAAUAAUAUGCUCACUCCAGCUCAAUCAUACAGACACAUGCAUAAAGGUUUCAGUAUCACUGAAAAACGU
ensembl:lncRNA